GACAAUCACCUUGAUUUUGGUGUUUGCAUUCUUUAUCUACUCAAUAGUGAAUGAAGAAUAUGGAAAACUAAUUCUUUUCCACUUCAAAGGUCUUCCGAACCCACAAGCACCUACAAUAAUUUAGAGGAAUCCUUGUCUAAUAAAGAACUUUUGCUACAUAUAUAUCCACAAAUUAGACUAGAUAAAUAUAAAGUUUAUCAAGGAAAUUAAGCUUUAAGCCAAAGAUACUCCAUAGAAACUACCUCCACUCUCAUCAACCUAACAAAUACAUAAGAAUUUAAUCAACUUUUAAAAUCUCUGCACUGAAAUUCUUAAAGAAGUCGGUCACUUCACCAACAAAUGUCAUUUCCUUAGCAAUGGAUUUAGGACCACAAAUUUACGCUUUUUGUUUGGAAAGCUUUAUCCCCAAAUUCCCCGGUUGUUACAUAUUUAAACAAGUGAUUGAAUAAAAAUCAUUAAGAACUGGGUAAUAAAUUUUACAUAUUUAAACAUAAAAAUCAAUAUCCAAUAGAUAAAGACAAAUUUGGGGUAAAAAUUACAUCUAAAUAAACAAUCCCAUAAAUUCAACUUGAUAAAGCUUUCAACUACCUUGAAAUAGUGGGGAAGGAGAUUCCCAAAAUUGAGACUAUCUCAAACAACUAAGGUCUGGUACGACAACACCUGGAGUCUGGAGAUUUCAAUGUGAAAGAGAUGAGUAAAGAUGGAAGGUAGGGUGACAAAAAU
rnacentral:lncRNA from 1 species